CCUACGGGCGGCAGCAGUGAGGAAUAUUGGUCAAUGGGCGUAAGCCUGAACCAGCCACGUCGCGUGAGGGAUGAAGGUUCUAUGGAUCGUAAACCUCUUUUAUAAGGGCAUAAAGUGUGGGACGUGUCCUGUUUUGUAUGUACCUUAUGAAUAAGGAUCGGCUAACUCCGUGACAGCAGCCGCGGUAAUACGGAGGGUCCGAGCGUUUUCCGGAUUUAUUGGGUUUAAAGGGUGCGUAGGCGGCCUUUUAAGUCAGCGGUGAAAGUCUGUGGCUCAACCAUAGAAUUGCCGUUGAAACUGUAAGGCUUGAGUAUGUUUGAGGCAGGCGGAAUGCGUGGUGUAGCGGUGAAAGGCUUAGAUAUCACGCAGAACCCCGAUUGCGAAGGCAGCCUGCCAAGCCAUGACUGACGCUGAUGCACGAAAGCGUGGGGAUCAAACAGGACUAGAUACCCCUGUAGUC
rnacentral:rRNA from 1 species